rnacentral:piRNA from 1 species
UAGCAAAACAAAAAAUUUUUC